AGUUUUAUUUUGUUCAAAUCCUAGAAAAGGCAUAUUAAAAUAUUCCAAACUAAAAACAAACUAAAAAUUAAUAGUAGUGUAAAAAAAAGUCGAAAUUUGAAAUAUAAAUAGAGUUAUAAAAUGGUAGGCACGAGCGGACUUGAACCGCUGACUUCUACCG
rnacentral:antisense_RNA from 1 species